rnacentral:hammerhead_ribozyme from 1 species
AUCAAGCUGAUGAGUCCCAAAUAGGACGAAACGCAAGUCCUGGAU